UGACCUCGGAUCAGGUAGGGAUACCCGCUGAACUUAAGCAUAUCAAUAAGCGGAGGAAAAGAAACCAACAGGGAUUGCCCCAGUAACGGCGAGUGAAGCGGCAAGAGCUCAAAUUUGAAAGCUGGCUCCUUCGGGGUCCGCAUUGUAAUUUGCAGAGGAUGCUUCGGGAGCGGUCCCCAUCUAAGUGCCCUGGAACGGGACGUCAUAGAGGGUGAGAAUCCCGUAUGGGAUGGGGUGUCCGCGCCCGUGUGAAGCUCCUUCGACGAGUCGAGUUGUUUGGGAAUGCAGCUCUAAAUGGGUGGUAAAUUUCAUCUAAAGCUAAAUAUUGGCCGGAGACCGAUAGCGCACAAGUAGAGUGAUCGAAAGAUGAAAAGCACUUUGAAAAGAGAGUUAAAAAGCACGUGAAAUUGUUGAAAGGGAAGCGCUUGCGACCAGACUCGCUCGCGGGGUUCAGCCGGCAUUCGUGCCGGUGUAUUUCCCCGCGGGCGGGCCAGCGUCGGUUUGGGCGGUCGGUCAAAGGCCCUCGGAAGGUAACGCCCCUAGGGGCGUCUUAUAGCCGAGGGUGCAAUGCGACCUGCCUAGACCGAGGAACGCGCUUCGGCUCGGACGCUGGCAUAAUGGUC
rnacentral:rRNA from 1 species